AUACGGAGGAUCCGAGCGUUAUCCGGAUUUAUUGGGUUUAAAGGGUGCGCAGGCGGCCAUUUAAGUCAGCGGUUAAAUCGGGGGGCUCAACCCCAUUCUGCCGUUGAUACUGGGUGGCUUGAUUGCGGUCGAGGUUGGCGGAAUUCGUUGUGUAGCGGUGAAAUGCAUAGAUAUGACGAAGAACACCGAUUGCGUAGGCAGCUGGCCAGACCGCAAAUGACGCUCAUGCACGAAAGUGCGGGGAUCGAACAGGAUUAGAUACCCUGGUAGUCCGCACAGUAAACGAUGAAUACUUGUUUUCGGCGAUAUAAUGUCGGAGGCAAAGCGAAAGCGAUAAGUAUUCCACCUGGGGAGUACGCCGGCAACGGUGAAACUCAAAUGAAUUGACGGGG
rnacentral:rRNA from 1 species